rnacentral:rRNA from 1 species
GGUCAAGCUACAAAGGGCGCAUGGUGAAUGCCUUGGCAUCAAGAGCCGAAGAAGGACGUGACAAGCUGCGAUAAGCUUUGGGUAGGCGCAAAUAGCCUGUGAUCCAAAGAUCUCCGAAUGAGGAAACUCACGUAGGUAACCCUACGUAUCCUAUAGUGAAUACAUAGCUAUAGGAGGGUAAACCUAGGGAACUGAAACAUCUAAGUACCUAGAGGAAGAGAAAGAAACAUCGAUUCCGUCAGUAGCGGCGAGCGAAAUCGGAAAAGCCCAAACCAAAGAUUUAUCUUUGGGGUUGCGGACAGAACAUAAGGCAAAGUUAUUAUUAAUUGAAGAUAUCUGGAAAGAUACACCGUAGAAGGUAAUAGUCCUGUAAGUGAAAAUAAUAAUGAGCUAGUUCUGCUCCAGAGUACCACGAGACACGUGAAACCUUGUGGGAAGCAGGGAGGACCACCUCCCAAGGCUAAAUACUACUUGAUGACCGAUAGUGAAGAAGUACCGUGAGGGAAAGGUGAAAAGA